UACGGAGGGUGCAAGCGUUAUCCGGAUUCACUGGGUUUAAAGGGUGCGUAGGAGGGCAGGUAAGUCAGUGGUGAAAUCUCCAAGCUUAACUUGGAAACUGCCGUUGAUACUAUCUGUCUUGAAUAUUGUGGAGGUGAGCGGAAUAUGUCAUGUAGCGGUGAAAUGCUUAGAUAUGACAUAGAACACCAAUUGCGAAGGCAGCCCACUACUCAAUCAUUGACUCUGAGGCACGAAAGCGUGGGAAUCAAACAGG
rnacentral:rRNA from 1 species